GUCCCUUUAGUGCAAUGGGUAGCGUAUUGGAUUUUUGAUCCAAAGGUCAUGGGUUCAAAUCCCAUCUGGGAUG